rnacentral:piRNA from 1 species
UAAACACAGGGUGCUGACUGGUGUGUUU